rnacentral:rRNA from 1 species
GUAGCAAUACAUGGUGGCGAGUGGCGCACGGGUACGUAACACGUAUGUAACCUACCUCUAACAGUGGCAUAACAAUGAGAAAUUAUUGCUAAUUCCGCAUGUGGUUAAUUUGAGGCAUCUUAGAUUAACUAAAGAUUUAUCGGUUAGAGCUGGGCAUGCGUCCCAUUAGCUAGUUGGUGAGGUAACGGCUCACCAAGGCAUCGAUGGGUAGGGGCUCUGAGAGGAUUGUCCCCCACACUGGUACUGAGACACGGACCAGACUCCUACGGGAGGCAGCAGUAAGGAAUAUUGGGCAAUGGACGCAAGUCUGACCCAGCCAUGCCGCGUGAAGGAAGACGGCCCUAUGGGUUGUAAACUUCUUUUCUCAGGGGGUAAACUUCGGAACGAGUUCCGGACUGAAAGUACCUGAGGAAUAAGCAUCGGCUAACUCCGUGCCAGCAGCCGCGGUAAUACGGAGGAUGCGAGCGUUAUCCGGAUUCAUUGGGUUUAAAGGGUGCGCAGGCGGAUAUGUAAGUCGGAGGUGAAAUUCUGAUGCUCAACAUCAGCCGUGCCUUCGAUACUGUAUAUCUAGAGUCAAGUUGGAGUAGGCGGAAUGUGUUGUGUAGCGGUGAAAUGCUUAGAUAUAACACAGAACACCGAUCGCGAAGGCAGCUUACUAAACUUUGACUGACGCUCAUGCACGAAAGCGUGGGGAUCAAACAGGAUUAGAUACCCUGGUAGUCCACGCUGUAAACGAUGAUUACUCGCUGUUGGCGAUACACAGUCAGUGGCUA